CAAUUUGAUUCUUUAUAGCCUCAAUUCAAUAUAAACUUUUUCCUUUUAAAAAUAACUUAAUCUGGAUUGGCAAUUUGAAAAUAAUUCAUUGUUUUGUUGUAGUAAAAAAGAUAUUAAAAUAUUAAAUAUAAAUGUAUAUUAAAGCUAGAAUUUAAAGCUCUUGUGUGAAUUGUUUGAUUCAAAUUAAGUGGUUCUCUUAAAAAAUUAGGUGAUUUUGUCGUGAUAAAUUUGAUACCCGAUUCUACAAGGGAAUUGACCUAGUUGCCAUCAAUUAUCAUUCAAACAAGCAAUUUCAAACUUAAAAUCGACAAUUUCUAAAACCAUGUGUAACGCUUUCAAGGGAGAGGGAGGGAGAGAGAAUGACAGACUCGAAGGUUGCUUUUAGGUAGGGUUGAUGCUGUUGAGCUUCAAUUUCUAGUGGCUUUCUUGAGCUUGAUUGGAGCGUGUUUUGAGAUUUUGAUGGCGAGCGUUUUUUGGAGUUGUUUCUUUGCUUUUCUAGGGUUCUAGGGGUUUGAAUUGUUUUUUUCUAGGUCUAAUUUUGUGGUGUCCUAGACUACAAUUCAAAACAUCCUUGCCAUUUAGUUUGUUUCAUUGUUAGAAUUUAGAAGGGGUACAAUCUCAUUUUUAGUCUCAUCCCUUUGUUUUUUAAGGAUUUUGUAAGUUUUAGUAAUGGUGCUGGCUGAGAAUUUGCAGGUCAUUUGAUCACUUGAAGUUAUUGGUUAAUUUUGUUGUUAUUGUAUGUAAUUUGGCUUAUGAUUUAACUGGAUGUCUGGAUUGUGGCUUCUUUUAGUGUGUUUCUAUGGUUUCCUGUGUUGAAGUUCUAUUUCUAGGAAGGACUCUUUUGUGGUGCAUUCCUGGGUAACUUUCAUGCUAACAUUUUGAUUUGAUAGUUUACUUAGUUGGGUUUAUCCAAGAUUUAGGGGUCAGAAUUGUGUUUUCUAGGUCUAAUUUUGUGGUUUUUAGUAUUUUUAAUUCCCAUUUUCUUGGUAAGGUUAUAGUCUUGCUUUCCCGUCUUUGUUCUCUAUUAUGUAGAAAUUUUCUGUUAAGUUUUGUAGUAGAAGCGGAUGAGACUUUGCUGGUUAUAAGAUCACACUAGGUCUUUAUGGAGUUUAUCUUUUUUUUUGUCCAUGCGUUUAUGUCUAUGAUUUGCCUGUGUGUUUGGAUUUGGACGUUUUGGUAUUUUUUUAGGACAUGUAUUGUUGAAGUUAUGCUUCUAGGGCUUCUCUUGUAUUUGCUUAUCAAGUAUUUUCUUUUCCUUUUUUUUUGGUAUAUUUAUUUUUUAAUGGAAAGGCCAUAUUUUGGAGAGUCUAGAACUCUUAUAGGGUUUAGGGAAUGGAAUUGUGCUUCUGGGGCUUAUUACGUGGUUUCCAGUGGAAUUUUCUUCUCUCCUCCCCCCCCGCACCCAGUGGAACGCUUAGUUGUCAAAGAUGAUUUCAAAGCUCAG
rnacentral:lncRNA from 1 species